UCUUUCUUUUUUUUUUUUUUUUUUUUUGCUAUCACAUAUCUAUUUCUUUCUCUUGUUCUACCUCACCUUUUCUUAGAAGCUCUUCUUCCUUCUGUAUCAUAGUUUUUGUUUCCUUACCUAUACAUAGACAUGGACAUAAAUUAAAAUAAUUACUCAACAUUUUGGACCCUUAAAUAGGUUUAUGAAAUUUUAUAAUGAAUAAUUAUAAAACAAAUUUUUAAAAAAUCCACUAUGCUCUACCAGUCAUUCUUUAUUCUCUUGUGACUCAGUUCAGCAGUAGCAGCUAACACAAUGCUUUGCAUACUUAGGCAUUCCGUAGUUACAUGUGUAAGUGGAUGAUUUUUUCAGCAUAAGUCCAUUAAAACAGUUUUGCCUUUAUUUGAUAUUACAGUUUGAGAAUACAAAAUUAUAGGGCAUGAGAAGCAAUAGAUAACUUAAUGAAAAUGAAGUACACAGUAUUAAGUUCAGCUUCCUGUGAGUUCUUAAUGGAGGUACUCCUGUCAGCUUUACUUAAGGAAGGUUCUCUUAUAUAAUCUUCUGAGUAACAGUAAGAAAAAAUAUACAGUUUUUAAACAGAAACUCACCAUUUGGAAACAAUUAAAAAUAUAAUUUUCAAAAGUUUUCCAGAAAAACUUCUUUUUGAGAAAGAGGUAGGAUUCACCUAUUUACAUUACUGGAAGUAGUGUCAGCAUUAAGGGUCUUGCUUUCUCCUCUUCAUCUAUGGCUGAUUUGUGUAUGUAUGGAUGCGGUUUUUUGAGGCCACUCUUUGCACUAGAACAUCUCUCACAUUGGUGAUACUGGCCUAUAUCCCCAAAUGACAAAUUCAAAUCUUAUUUAUUUAAGGAGUAUUUUGCUGUUUAAUAUUUAAACAACAUUUAAUAUAUUUCAUUAUUAAUUAGUAUUAUAGCUUACGGUUUGUUUCCUGUUUGCUUAUUGCUUUACUAAGUAUUUUUUAGCAGAGGCAGAACGGCAGCUUAUACAGGAACAAGUAAUUCAUGGUGACGAGAACCUCAAGUCUUUUAAGUUCAAGGAACUAUUAUUUUCUUUGCUGUGCAGAGUAGGAUACAAUUUAAUUAUGAAAAGAAAGGCAUAGUUUACACAAAAAAGUUUUCACCUAAAGAAGAUUUACUAUCUAAAUAAACAUUGAGGAGACUUUUACCUACAUAAGAAUUUCUGUGACUCAACACAAAGUGACAACAGUGUUCUCUUUUUGGAAAGUGGGCAGGGAUUACUUAUUACACCGAUGAGCUAUGCAAGAGUUUUUUGACAUUUUACAGUAUCUUACAAUAUUAUAAUUCAGUAAUUACUGAAAGUCAAAAUUAGUCAUUUCGAGUGUGGCUUUAAAGUUCAUUGAGUUUUGUUUGUUAUAUUGUCAUUUGUUGGCUUGAGAAUAAAUAAACUCAGAGCCAUCUGCAUUCUAGGCAAGCACUUGUACCACUGAUGUCCACUCUGAACCAUGAAUUGUGAAAUUAUUUACAUGUAGAGUCAUAGCUAAACUAGGGAAGUUUAUUUUUGCUUUUAGUCCCCCCCCCCCCCCCCCCGGAAUGUUUUUAAAGCAUGAGUGUGACUGCUCAUACAUGUACUCACAUGCAAAUCAAAAGGAUAACCAUUCUGUUGAGGUCAAAUUCAUGUAGAAUGCUGAGAAGAAAAUUAAGAUUAAGUCUGUAGAAAUUUGUUUUUAACUGAAAAGCUGGUGGUAUUUUUCAAAUAAAUGAAAUUUAAAUUAUAUUCACUUUGAAAUUACUGAACUGAAUGUUCAUUAUCCACUUGUAUUUUAGUUUCACAUGACGAUUCUCUUUAAAUUUAUAGUAAAAUGGAGAAUUGACUAACCUUGACUUAGAGAAUUUGAUUAUGGUUUAAAUUAGGUCCUAAGUUUUCUGGUAUAUUCAUGGCUGUGUUUAGAAGUAUGUGUUGGCCCUAACAUAGUUUCUGCACUAACAUUGGCAGAACAACUAAGAAAAUUUGAAAAUGUACAAUAGUUGUAUAAAUAAUUCUUUUGAAUAAGUACACAAUAGGUUAAUUAUGUUUUCAGGUCUUUGAUGUGUUUGGGAUUGUGUAUUAGGGACUUCAUAAGAGUAUCUUGAAAGUUAAAAAUUGCCACAUCCUGAAAUGCAGUAAGCAUUUUUAUAUAAAUAAAGUUUGCGGACCACAACUAGUUUUGUGCCAAAAUUAAAGAGAUGGAAUAAUAAUAUGUCAAAACUAAGCAAACGUUCUUUCCAAGUAUUUUGUAUACUUUUAAAUUUUGUUUCUAUUUUAAAUGUAAGUAAAGCUACUUAACCUCCAACUUGGGUUAGACUUCUGAAUAGGUAACCUUAUUUCUUCCAUGGUAGUAUCCACUGUAACUGCUUGCUUAAUCAUUAACUAGUACUGUUUGUGAAGCAGAGCAGUUCCUGAAUAGAGCUUACUUGAAGCCUCUGCUAUCUGAUGAAAUGUUCUCAUUCUCAUUUAAAUUGUGGGCCUUAUUUUACAGAAAAUAGUUUGCAGUUAUCUUGGGAAUAUAUCUACCAUCCCUCAAUUUCCCCCAAAAGACUCCAAACAGAGAGAGAGAGAGAGAGAGAGAGAGAGAGAGAGAGAGAGAGAGAGAGAGAGAGAGAGGUGUGUGUGUGUGUACGUACACGUGCGCAUGUAUACAUACCUGAUUUAUGCCUACCAAGAAGGCAGAAGUAUUGUGAGUUUGGGAUGUUUUCUCUAUGUAAAGUGAUUCAACGAUAUUUGUCAGGCAUAGUAUUUCUGUUCAGGAAAUAAAGAUGUUUACUUUUUUGGAACCAAUGAA
rnacentral:lncRNA from 1 species